GACACCAGAAACACGGGAGUGGGACCUUUCCUGAAUUCCGCAUGUCAUGCAUGCCAGGGGGCGCCCGUGAUUUUUACUGUGACUAAAGAAGUGCGAUCAAAGCAGUCGCAUCGACUUGGAUUAGCAAGCAUGGGAUAACAAAGGAGCAGCCAUUAGGCUACCGUUUCGGCUUUUGUUGGUUUUAAAGGUCUAUUGGAGAUUAUGGAGGCUGUGCGACCCGUGCCACGUGCUGUGUCUUUGUACCGGCACCGGCGCCUUCGCCCGUGUGUGUGGCGCGCGUAGCAGCCUCGGCUGUGUGCGUGCGGCCCC
rnacentral:rRNA from 1 species